GAGUGGGAGGACGUUCCGCUCCUGCUCUCCCUCAUACACUGACCGCGCCGCUGGAAUAUACGGGAGUUGUAGUGGUGAAUCAUUGGUUAAAUUAACUAUACAUCCGCGUAUAAGUGAAGGAAAACUAAUGUUGAGAGGAAAGGUAAUACAAUACAGACUGAAUGUUGUGACAGCGAUGACUAAACAAGGUGACUCGUCCUUCCAGCCACCAGGAAGUAAACAGUAGCAACCAAAUAAACAAUAACCAUCGGGAAAUAAACAAUAGCGACCAGGAAGUAAACAAAUAACCACCAGAAAGUAAACAAUAGCAUCAGGGCAUAAACGAUAAAAAACAAACAUUGGAAAAAAAACGUACAAAAUGCUCAGUGACGUCAUACAGAAUUAUGAUGUUUGAGUUUCAUUUGUGGGAGAAAACAGUGAGGAGUGUGAAUAAGAAAAAGUAAAUAAAAGGGAGAGAGACAGAGAAGACGAAGGAUUAAGUACAGAACACAAGGUCAUCAUCACUCGUCUGCUAUAUUAGGCGCUGGUGCGUGAGCUUCGUCAGUAUGUCUUCCACGCUACCCAGAACCCGGAGUGUGAGUGCGGCCUCCUCCUCCUCCAGCGCCGCCUCCGCCACUAAGGUGAGUCCUCUUAUGUUUCGUU